rnacentral:snRNA from 1 species
AUCGCUUCUCGGUCUUUUGGCUAAGAUCAAGUGUAGUAUGUAAUAGUCUUUGAAAUUAGUUUGUCUCAUUUAAAGAUUUCCGUGUGGUGACAAUUUUCUUGUAAAUUUUAACGACUGUAUUCAAUCCUAU